rnacentral:rRNA from 1 species
AUUGUGGUGCUUGCACUACAUGAGAGUGGCGCACGGGUGCGUAACACGUAUGUAACCUACCUUUGUCAGGGGGAUAGCCUCUCGAAAGAGAGAUUAAGCCCGCAUAAAAUCACACUGUGGCAUCACAGAAUGAUCAAAUAUUUAUAGGACAAAGAUGGGCAUGCGGAACAUUAGCUAGUUGGCGGGGUAACGGCUCACCAAGGCUACGAUGUUUAGGGGAUCUGAGAGGAUGACCCCCCACACUGGUACUGAGACACGGACCAGACUCCUACGGGAGGCAGCAGUAAGGAAUAUUGGUCAAUGGGCGGAAGCCUGAACCAGCCAUGCCGCGUGCAGGAAGACGGCCCUACGGGUUGUAAACUGCUUUUGCAGGGGAAUAAACCUUCGUAUGUAUACGAAGCUGAAUGUACCUUGAGAAUAAGGAUCGGCUAACUCCGUGCCAGCAGCCGCGGUAAUACGGAGGAUCCAAGCGUUAUCCGGAUUUAUUGGGUUUAAAGGGUGCGUAGGCGGCCUAUUAAGUCAGGGGUGAAAGACGGUAGCUUAACUAUCGCAGUGCCUUUGAUACUGAUAGGCUUGAAUGUACUUGAGGUAGGCGGAAUGUGACAAGUAGCGGUGAAAUGCAUAGAUAUGUCACAGAACACCAAUUGCGAAGGCAGCUUACUAAAGUAUGAUUGACGCUGAGGCACGAAAGCGUGGGGAUCAAACAGGAUUAGAUACCCUGGUAGUCCACGCCCUAAACGAUGAACACUCGAUGUUGGCGAUAUACGGUCAGCGUCUAAGCGAAAGCGUUAAGUGUUCCACCUGGGGAGUACGCCCGCAAGGGUGAAACUC